UUCAGACUAGAAUCUAUGGUUCCAACCUGUUGUAAUGGUCCAUAAAGCUAGCCAAACCUCAAGCUAGUGGUGACUGUUUCGGCAAAGAGCACAGAUCUCUGGUUACAGAAAAUAUCGUGAUCAGACUGAUCAUAUUUCCUCUUUUUGCAACAGAAUAAAUAUAGCUAAAUAAACAGGUGAGCGCUUAAAAGCUUAUUUUCGAUCUACCCACCGCCAUAAUGGCCCUGGCAGAGAAAAGCAAUACAGCUUGUGCUCUUACAGCCGAGCUCUUGACAGUUGGUCCGGAUAUAAUGGGACAGCCGUACAGUAUCUCCGUGUUAAAAGAGGGCUACUGCUUGCCACAGGCGAAUGGAUCGACACGCGCGGACGGCACUAUAACUCUGCUGCAGGGACCAAAGACAAUUCUGGUAGAUACAGGCGGACCCUGGGAUCGGGAUUUUCUUUUGCGGCGAUUAAAGGAGAAAAACAUUAGCCCAGAUGACAUAAACAUUGUAGUCGGCACUCAUGGACACUCGGACCAUGUGGGGAAUUUGGGGCUAUUUCCUGGAGCGACAUUGGUUGUGGGAUGUGACAUUAGUCAAGGAGACCUCUACCUGCCCAACCAGCUAGCUGAGGGAGAACCAUUUCCUAUUGAUGAACACGUGUCAAUACUGCCAACACCAGGUCACACUGGGCGGGAUGUAAGCGUGCUGGUAAAAGGAACCUCAGUGGGUACUGUGCUGGUGGCAGGGGACUUGUUUGAAUGCUGCACUGAUGAGGACACCUGGCGGGAGCUUAGUGAGAACCCAGCGGUACAGGAGGUCAACCGGCAAAAGGCAUUGCAGAUUGCUGAUGUGAUCAUCCCAGGACAUGGUGGCCCAUUCAGAGUGCGCAUGGAUGUGGGGGACAGUAAUGGAAGUUACCUGACUCAGCGGGACUCCUAGAUAUGUUGCUAAAAACCUGAAGGUGACUAAUGGGCUGUUUGGCUGGCUGUUCAGGACCUGCAACAGCAAGGCCCAAUCAGCAUGAAGUCGACUGCUCCCUCCUGAGACCUAAAAGGCAAGAAACUAAAUGCUGUUCCACGUGAGCAACAGCUGCCUGGGACCCCCGGUGGACAUGGACAGAAGUGCAUGUACAUGUUGUCUGGCAGGCACAGCAAUACAAAGCAACUAUUAUGUUAUGGUGCAGUUCUACAGUUUAGAAUAUGUAGUUUUAUUUAUUUUUAAAUGAAUAAAUUACUUAAUGUGUGUAAUAUUUGUGGACAUUUUUUACAUUGACGGAUUUAAGGUAUGUAUUUAAAAAAUAUAUUUGGUAAAGUACAUUAUAUUAUAGAGUAGACAUUUGUUUUGUGUUUUAUUUUAAUUUACAGGCUGUUCAAACCUUUGUCCAAGUACAUUCUUAGAUAAUACAUGGUAAUGCAUGGGUAAUACAUGUAGACUAAUACUUGUGUGUCUGCUAAGAAAUUAAACUUUUUUCAGAGCUUCUGGAACUUGUUUAUCCUGUUUUCUUAUACUGCUCUACCCAUUUACAGGAAUGCAAGGAAACCAAGCAAGUAUUUCAGAACACUUUCACAAUAAAAAUCUGACUUGCGCUGCUCUAUCUCUGUCUGAUUUCCCCCCCACAGGCAUGGAAAGGAAAGUCUUUGGCAAUCAGGGUCACGCUGACCAUGUCCUGGCGUUUGCUCUCCUUUGAAGGUUUUAUUACUUUAUCUUUCUAUUUUAGCCCCAGCUUGGCCAAAAUAGAAAGAUCAUCUCCUUUUAAAUUUAAAUGUGUAUUUAAUUGAAAUCAUAUUAUUAUUAAUUUCUAUAAAGAUAAAGGUCGUUGAGGCUUGAUAACUGCAAUCUGAAUUCAGUUCCAGUUUCAAGUGGAAACCAAUGCAGUGCAAUUUGGUUUUGUUGCAUGGGAAAUAUUUUGCCUGAUGGUGGAGAUUGCAACUGGUGGGAUUUAACAAGUAUUUAACAAGUAACUACAUAUAUCACGUCUCGUUUUUUUCUCCAGUUUUUUUCCAUAGCUGAGCUGGAUAGCUCCUAACAUUCAUGUUUCGUCUCAUUUUAAAGACGACAAGACAAUGAAUAUUUUGAUUAUAACAUCAAAGUGCUUAGCCCUACUUCCAACAACAUACAUGUAAGGCUACUAUAAUAUGUACAUUUGGCAACCAUCAGAUAAGACAGUCCCUGUCUGACCCUUCUCCCACACCUCACCCAUCUGUGCAGCCAUUCUCCCGGUCUCUUUCAACCGCUCCCUAGCCCCCUCUUCCAACAGCAUAAAAUGUGGACCUUUCUUUACUUUGAGUCUUGAGUUUUUGUGUACUUAACUUCAGCCAGUUAACAUCUGUUGUGGUGGGCAUUCAGGGGUUGAUAUCUGCUGUUACCAUCUGGAGAAUGUAAAUCUUCUGUCUGGGCCUUGCAUUUCUUGGUGUUUGGUGUGCUCAGGGUUUGAAAUUUUUGUCUUACAGCUCAUCUGGCAGUUUUACAUUCUCAUUCCUGGCUUUUUAGAAUAUUCAACUGUCUUUUGGUUUUUGAGCUUUUGAUCUUGGUUUUCUUGGGAUGAUCUUGUGAGAAUCAAGCGGAAGUUUGGUAUUCUCUUUCAUUACUUUUGUGACAAUAACCUGUCCAUGUAUGUAACAUCUGUUAUUUGUUAAGGUAGUUUGAACUUUAGUCUUUAGAUUAGACCUUGAAUUGUUUUUUCUUGUAACUUAAUACAUUUCUUCUUUUUAAUCUGGUUGUGAGUUGUACAUUUUGAUAAAGGUUGAUAUAACAGGUUGCUCUGCCUAUCAACAAAUCUGAUGACUUAAUUGAUCAUUAAUGGCUUUAAUAAUUGCCAAAUUACAUCAAAUAAAUAUAUUUAAUAUGUUGGGUAAGUGAGAGGUUUUAACUGUUGACACAGUGUGUUUGGUAUUCAGUGCUAGACUGCUGGAGUGAGAAUGUAAACAUAUUUCACUCAAUCCUCAUGGUUCCUACAAUUACAUGACCAGAAUUGUUUUUGUUAUGAAGUUACGGGAGCCGACAAAGUGGAAAAGUAAAACAAGCAACAAAAAAAAGGCAAUGGUUUCAGUCCAUGCGAUUUUCCUCAGAGGAGUACUUCAUUACAUUCUUUAGAUAUUUUAAAUGUUUCUGUUUGAAAAGCAGAAGAACACAUGUAAUGUUUAACAUAACAUUAUCAACAAAUCGGGUAACUUGACUAAUGUCAUGAAUGUAUAGUGAAGGAGAUGGACACACUGGUUUAUGCAGAGGGCCAUACAGGACAUUGCCAUAGAGAAAGAAAAAAAUAACAGUGACAUUACAGGAAGUAUGUCAAAUAUGUUCAGUUCCUCAUUUAUGCCACUAGGGUGUAGUAUUUUAAUGUAACUCGUAUCUGGAUUCAUAUUGCAAUAAUAUUUGUUCCAAGUUAGCUGCCCUAUGAUGAAGGAGAGCAAUAUCAACACCACAGAACACAAAAUUCAACAAAUGUUUCUGUCUACAAUGUUUCACCCUCUGGGUCAAGCCAAGAGACUUAAAUGAACUUCUUUUUAGGUGCUUGUGACUUGUAUACUGCAGACCCGAUGGAGAUCUGAUAGACCAAAAUAUUUGCACUUGUUUUGUCUAUAUGUGAGCUUAAAUAAACUGAUGUUGACUUUGUGAAGACUGA